AAACUUUUGCAUCAUGCUGGUGUUAUUCGUUUCUCUGUUGUAAAAUGUAUUAUUUAAGUUAAAUAUUGUGAGAAGACAAAUAUAUUGAUAUGACAAGACAAAUACUAAAACCUUAAAUAUGGGAAAAUAGAAACAUAUGUUGGAAUUAGAAAAAUUAAUUAUUAAUAUAUGGUGCAAUAAAUCACAAGAUUGGAAGUGUUGAAAUAUAGGUAACUAUCUAAAAAAAAGGAGAUUAAACCAUCUAAAAAUUAUUCACACAAAAAGGUCUAGGAAAAGCCCUAAUUGUGAUUUUUCUCGGGCCGCUACUGUUCAUUGCGCGCCAGGUGUUCGAUUUGUGUCUAACCUGACCAAACGCCUGACGACGCCCUCUCCAACCGCUGCUGUGCCGCGCGCCUGCCUUCCCGACCCGUGCGCCGCACCGCGUCGCGCCACGCCGCGUGGGCCUGCCGCCGUCCGAGCCGCCAAAAACCCGCGCCAAAGCUGCGCCGCCACGAGUGCCCGCGUCAUCCCGUCCCCUCGCGCGUCGCAUUCGGGAUUGAGUGAUAAUGGCCGCCACGACGACCCCGCGUCACCCUAGGGCAUAGCCCUGCGCCUUCCCUAUCGAGGCCGUUAUCACUGUCCGUCGCCGCCGCUCUUGUCGCCGUCGCAUCGCCAUCCUGUCGCCCACAAUUGAGACCGCUGGAUAUUAGGGUGCUCCUUCCCCAGCUAAUGAUCCCUCUCCUGGAACUCUAUCAUCUAGGCAAUCAUGCUGGCACAGUGCAUUGAACCAAACCUAGGAGAGAUCGAAACGUGGCUGAGUCAUCGGUUGACCUUAUCCAGUUGGAAUCGCCCUCCCUCUCGCUGUUAUAAGCUCACUCCUAGCUCGUCCUCAUCCAAAAUCAGCCCCUUAUCUUCUUCCCUCUUCCCCAAAGCUCUUGCUCCAUCUCAGAGGAAAGAAAACGCGCCGCCGCCGGGUGUCGAACACCUGGUGGGCGGGGGCUGCGCCGCCGCCACAGGGCCUCUCGGCCGGUGUGGGUGGCGGGGUGUGGAGAGAAGGUGCCCGCGUUGCCAUUGCUACUGUUGGAGGGAGCCGGGAGCCACUACUCGAGGAAGGCCGAGCGUCGAACACCUGCGACUGUCGCCGACCGCCGUCUGCCCCUGUUUCGGCUACCGCGCGCCAUCGAACUUCGCCGUUCCGCCACUCCGUGAUUCCGAGGGAAUUGUUGAGUCGAUUGAGGAGCAGGGACAGCAAGACUGCGAUCAAGGCAAGUCAUCACUAAUCUUUGAGCAUGUUGAACCUAUUGCGAAAAUUAUGUUGAUUUGAAUAAAAUUGCAUGCUAUAUAUGAAUAUGAAUGUCCUACUUGUUAUAUAUGCUAUGCCUUGAUAUUGAUUAUCUGUAUGCCCAUUGUAAACCCUGCUAUCGUGUGUACUUAGUCAAUAUUGGACAAAUGCUUAGUCAUGCUACACUAGAAUCAUGCAUUCUCAUAUUUAUCAA